rnacentral:rRNA from 1 species
UACGUAGGGUGCGAGCGUUGUCCGGAAUUAUUGGGCGUAAAGAGCUCGUAGGCGGUGUGUCACGUCGGCCGUGAAAACCUGCAGCUUAACUGUGGGCGUGCGGUCGAUAACGGGCAUCACUGGAGUUCGGCAGGGGAGACUGGAAUUCCUGGUGUGAGCGGUGAAAUGCGCAGAUAUCAGGAGGAACACCGGUGGCGAAGGCGGGUCUCGUGGGCAAUGAAACUGACGCUGGAGGAGCGAAAGCCGUGGGGAGCGAACACGG